GAUGAACGCUGGCGGCGUGCCUAACACAUGCAAGUCGAGCGAUUCUCUUCGGAGAAGAGCGGCGGACGGGUGAGUAACGCGUGGGUAACCUGCCCUGUACACACGGAUAACAUACCGAAAGGUAUGCUAAUACGAGAUAAUAUACUUUUAUCGCAUGGUAGAAGUAUCAAAGCUCCGGCGGUACAGGAUGGACCCGCGUCUGAUUAGCUAGUUGGUAAGGUAACGGCUUACCAAGGCGACGAUCAGUAGCCGACCUGAGAGGGUGAUCGGCCACAUUGGAACUGAGACACGGUCCAAACUCCUACGGGAGGCAGCAGUGGGGAAUAUUGCACAAUGGGCGAAAGCCUGAUGCAGCAACGCCGCGUGAGCGAUGAAGGCCUUCGGUCGUAAAGCUCUGUCCUCAAGGAAGAUAAUGACGGUACUUGAGGAGGAAGCCCCGGCUAACUACGUGCCAGCAGCCGCGGUAA
rnacentral:rRNA from 1 species